GUCCCUUGUUUCACCCAUGUUCUAUAAACAAACAAACAGAUCUCGAAUUAGUGGUGCAGAUAUAUAAACUGAUCCAGGGUUACUAUUGAAUACAACAAGGAUUGAUUUAGAUCUUUUGAAAUAAAUUAGGAACAAAAAUCAAUUGAUGGGGGAAAACAAUUAGGGUUGUGAAAACAAAUUGAUCAGGGUUUUAUUAAAAAAUUUAAAAAGGAAGGAGAAAUUGGGAUUGGAGGAAUAAGUAUACCUGCUAGGCUCUGAAAAAAAGGUG
rnacentral:misc_RNA from 1 species